rnacentral:rRNA from 1 species
GGGUUGUGAGGUUAAGCGACUAAGCGUACACGGUGGAUGCCCUGGCAGUCAGAGGCGAUGAAGGGCGUGCUAAUCUGCGAUAAGCGCCGGUAAGGUGAUAUGAACCGUUAUAACCGGCGAUACCCGAAUGGGGAAACCCAGUGUGACUCGUCACACUAUCAUUAACUGAAUCCAUAGGUUAAUGAGGCGAACCGGGGGAACUGAAACAUCUAAGUACCCCGAGGAAAAGAAAUCAACCGAGAUUCCCCCAGUAGCGGCGAGCGAACGGGGAGGAGCCCAGAGCCUGAAUCAGCAUGUGUGUUAGUGGAAGCGUCUGGAAAGGCGCGCGAUACAGGGUGACAGCCCCGUACACAAAAGCGCAUGUGCUGUGAGCUCGAUGAGUAGGGCGGGACACGUGGUAUCCUGUCUGAAUAUGGGGGGACCAUCCUCCAAGGCUAAAUACUCCUGACUGACCGAUAGUGAACCAGUACCGUGAGGGAAAGGCGAAAAGAACCCCGGCGAGGGGAGUGAAAAAGAACCUGAAACCGUGUACGUACAAGCAGUGGGAGCACAGGUUUACCUGUGUGACUGCGUACCUUUUGUAUAAUGGGUCAGCGACUUAUAUUCUGUAGCAAGGUUAACCGUAUAGGGGAGCCGUAGGGAAACCGAGUCUUAACCGGGCGUUAAGUUGCAGGGUAUAGACCCGAAACCCGGUGAUCUAGCCAUGGGCAGGUUGAAGGUUGGGUAACACUAACUGGAGGACCGAACCGACUAAUGUUGAAAAAUUAGCGGAUGACCUGUGGCUGGGGGUGAAAGGCCAAUCAAACCGGGAGAUAGCUGGUUCUCCCCGAAAGCUAUUUAGGUAGCGCCUCGUGAAUUCAUCUCCGGGGGUAGAGCACUGUUUCGGCUAGGGGGCCAUCCCGGCUUACCAACCCGAUGCAAACUGCGAAUACCGGAGAAUGUUAUCACGGGAGACACACGGCGGGUGCUAACGUCCGUCGUGAAGAGGGAAACAACCCAGACCGCCAGCUAAGGUCCCAAAGUCAUGGUUAAGUGGGAAACGAUGUGGGAAGGCCCAGACAGCCAGGAUGUUGGCUUAGAAGCAGCCAUCAUUUAAAGAAAGCGUAAUAGCUCACUGGUCGAGUCGGCCUGCGCGGAAGAUGUAACGGGGCUAAACCAUGCACCGAAGCUGCGGCAGCGACGCUGAUGCGUUGUUGGGUAGGGGAGCGUUCUGUAAGCCUGCGAAGGUGGCCUGUGAGGGUUGCUGGAGGUAUCAGAAGUGCGAAUGCUGACAUAAGUAACGAUAAAGCGGGUGAAAAGCCCGCUCGCCGGAAGACCAAGGGUUCCUGUCCAACGUUAAUCGGGGCAGGGUGAGUCGACCCCUAAGGCGAGGCCGAAAGGCGUAGUCGAUGGGAAACGGGUUAAUAUUCCCGUACUUGGUGUUACUGCGAAGGGGGGACGGAGAAGGCUAUGUUGGCCGGGCGACGGUUGUCCCGGUUUAAGCGUGUAGGUGUGUGUUCCAGGUAAAUCCGGUUCACUUUAACACUGAGGCGUGAUGACGAGGCACUACGGUGCUGAAGCAACAAAUGCCCUGCUUCCAGGAAAAGCCUCUAAGCAUCAGGUAACAUCAAAUCGUACCCCAAACCGACACAGGUGGUCAGGUAGAGAAUACCAAGGCGCUUGAGAGAACUCGGGUGAAGGAACUAGGCAAAAUGGUGCCGUAACUUCGGGAGAAGGCACGCUGACACGUAGGUGAAGUGAUUUACUCAUGGAGCUGAAGUCAGUCGAAGAUACCAGCUGGCUGCAACUGUUUAUUAAAAACACAGCACUGUGCAAACACGAAAGUGGACGUAUACGGUGUGACGCCUGCCCGGUGCCGGAAGGUUAAUUGAUGGGGUCAGCGCAAGCGAAGCUCCUGAUCGAAGCCCCGGUAAACGGCGGCCGUAACUAUAACGGUCCUAAGGUAGCGAAAUUCCUUGUCGGGUAAGUUCCGACCUGCACGAAUGGCGUAAUGAUGGCCAGGCUGUCUCCACCCGAGACUCAGUGAAAUUGAACUCGCUGUGAAGAUGCAGUGUACCCGCGGCAAGACGGAAAGACCCCGUGAACCUUUACUAUAGCUUGACACUGAACAUUGAGCCUUGAUGUGUAGGAUAGGUGGGAGGCUUUGAAGCGUGGACGCCAGUCUGCGUGGAGCCGACCUUGAAAUACCACCCUUUAAUGUUUGAUGUUCUAACGUGGACCCGUGA